rnacentral:rRNA from 1 species
AGUACAAGCAUAAAUAAAGUGAAACCGCAAAAGGCUCAUUAUAUCAGUUAUGGUUCCCUAGAUCGUAUUCACAAUUACUUGGAUAACUGUGGUAAUUCUAGAGCUAAUACAUGCAUUUAAAGAGAAACCAGUUAAAUGGGAUCUCUGCUUUUAUUAGAUUUAAACCAAUGGGGAUUGCUUCAGGGCUUUCUCACAUUAAAUGGUUGAACUCUGGAUAAUUUGUUGAUCGCAUGGUCCUGUACCGGCGACGGAUCUUUCAAAUGUCUGCCCUAUCAACUAUUGAAGGUAGUGUCUUGGACUACCUUGGUUGCAACGGGUAACGGGGAAUCAGGGUUCGAUUCCGGAGAGGGAGCCUGAGAAACGGCUACCACAUCUAAGGAAGGCAGCAGGCGCGUAAAUUACCCACUCCCGGCACGGGGAGGUAGUGACGAAAAAUAACAAUACAAGACUCACAUCCGAGGCCUUGUAAUUGGAAUGAGUACACUUUAAAUCCUUUAACAAGGAUCAAUUGAAGGGCAAGUCUGGUGCCAGCAGCCGCGGUAACUCCAGCUUCAAUAGCGUAUAUUAAAGUUGUUGCGGUUAAAACGUUCGUAGUUGAACUUGUGUUUCGCACGGGCAGUACCUAGGACUAGGUAACUAGGACGGUACCUGUCUUAUCUUUCCUUAUUUUCUAAUUUGGAAAAAGUGCGUGAACGUAUUAUCGGCGUGUUCAUUUGUCUUUUCAUAGAGAUGAUGUUCACAUAAGCUCAUUUCAGUGCUCUUUACCGAGUGUUGUUGUGGGCCGAUACAAAUUACUUUGAACAAAUUAGAGUGCUCAAAGCAGGCUCAUAAUGCCUGAAUAUUAUGUGCAUGGAAUAAUGGAAUAGGACAUCUGUUCUACUUUCAUUGGUUUUUUAGACCAAGAUGUAAUGAUUAAUGGAAGCAGUUGGGGGCAUUAGUAUUACAACGCGAGAGGUGAAAUUCUUAGACCGUUGUAAGACUGACUAAAGCGAAAGCAUUUGCCAAAGAUGUUUUC